AAGCAAUCUGCGUAGAAUUCUAUAUUUUAUCAUCAUUUUAUGAAAAGAUGCUUUUUGCUUGUGACCUUAAAACAUUUUUUGAGUAUUUUUAAUUAAUUUUUAUAAAUUCAUUAAAGCAAAUGUUCAAAUUUAUACAAGCACAUUUUCUGGCUUUCGGAUGUCCUAUACUGAGUGAAUUAACGGCUCAUAAUUUUGUUGUUCAUUCUCACUGUGCCUCCAGAUUUAGACUUGAAACUUGCUUUGGAUAUUGACCGUUGUUCGUCUCAACACCCGAAAAAGUUUGGGAGGUCACUUGUAUCUUCCUGCUUGCUUUCUUGUGCCUCUGCCAUCCUGAAGUCAUGCCCAGGCUAACCUGCUGAAGGGUGAUGUAACUUUGGAAAGAUGUUGCCCAAAGACCAGACACAUGUAUCUGAAUGUCUAAUGCCAACCCAGGGAAAAGGACAGAGGGGAAAAGAAAUUUGGAAUUUCUCACUUUAGAUUAAAUGUUUCAAAUUGAGAGGAAGCACUGUUUUUUUUUAAGGGAUACUACCUAGAUAAAGUACAUUUAAUUUUAAAACACAGAUGAGAAACCAAAACAAGAUGAAUGGAACAGCCACCAUCACUUCAAAGAAAGGAAAGUCUGCGAACUCCACAUGUGGAAGAAUGAAAAGUCAUGAGAGCUAAGAGAAAAUAUUUGAUGAAGGUAGUACAAGGAAUUCUAAAAUUUAGCCUAUUAUAAUAGAACCUUAAUUUUUGUCCACUUUCCCAGAAGAUUUAGAAUAGCAUUAGCAGCAUUUUUGUAUGGCAACACAUCUUCAUGAAUUCAUGGAUGAUGCUUGUAGUAAAGUGACUACUUCUAAUGCUAGCAAAUAAGUGGAUACAUUUCAAAGAAGGACACAAAAUCUAACACCUUCUUCAACAAAAUUUUUUUCUGAGAUUAAGAGGAUUAUGACCAGAAUAUUUUCAUAAUUCAUUAUAUAGCUGUUGGUAUUACUCUAUUUUGACACUGCUAUAAAGAACUGCCUGAGACUAAAUAAAUUUAUAAAGAAAAGAGGUUUAAUUGAUUCACAGUUUCACAUGGCUGGGAAGGCCUCGGGAAAUUACAAUUAUGACACAAGGGAAAAUAGCCAUGUCUUACAUGGAGGCAGGUAAGGUAGGGGUGUGUGGAACCUGCCACUUAUAAAACCAUCAGAGCUCAUGAGAACCCAUUCACUAUCAUGAUAAUAGCAUGGGGGAAGCUGCCCCCAUGAUCCCAAUCACCUCCCACCUGGUCCCUCCCUCCACAGGUGGGGAUUACAAUUCAGAUUUCAAUUCCAGAUAAGAUUUGAGUGAGGACAUGGCGAAAAAAU
rnacentral:lncRNA from 1 species